CACGUAGGGGGCGAGCGUUGUUCGGAAUCAUUGGGCGUAAAGGGCGUGCAGGCGGCCCUGCAAGUCCGGCGUGAAAUGUCCCGGCUCAACCGGGGAGACGCGCUGGAAACUGUGGGGCUUGAGUACAGGAGGGGAUGCCGGAAUUCCAGGUGUAGGGGUGAAAUCUGUAGAUAUCUGGAGGAACACCAAUGGCGAAGGCAGGCAUCUGGCCAUGUACUGACGCUGAGACGCGAAGGUGCGGGGAGCAAACAGGUUUAGAUACCCUGGUAGUCCGCACAGUAAACGAUGUGCACCAGGUGGCGGGGGGUCGACCCUCGGUACCGAAGCUAACGCAUUAAGUGCACCGCCUGGGGAGUAUGCUCGCAAGGGUGAA
rnacentral:rRNA from 1 species